rnacentral:rRNA from 1 species
GACGUAGGGCGCGAGCGUUGUCCGGAUUUAUUGGGCGUAAAGAGCUCGUAGGCGGCUUGUCGCGUCGAAUGUGAAAACCCACAGCUCAACUGUGGGCUUGCAUUCGAUACGGGCAGGCUCGAGUUCGGUAGGGGAGACUGGAAUUCCCGGUGUAGCAGUGAAAUGCGUAGAGAUCGGGAGGAACACCGGUGGCGAAGGCGGCGACCUGGGUCGAUACUGACGCUGAGGUGCGAAAGCGUGGGGAGCAAACAGG